GGGGUGUAUAACUCAGUUGGUAGAGCAUUGGGCUUUUAACCUAAUGGUCGCAGGUUCAAGUCCUGCUAUACCCAAACCUAACUUGCACUAUACUAUGAGUAAGGAUGCGUAGUAGCGC
rnacentral:tRNA from 1 species